rnacentral:rRNA from 1 species
GCUAUACAUGCAGUCGAGCGGACAGAUGGGAGCUUGCUCCCUGAUGUUAGCGGCGGACGGGUGAGUAACACGUGGGUAACCUGCCUGUAAGACUGGGAUAACUCCGGGAAACCGGGGCUAAUACCGGAUGGUUGUUUGAACCGCAUGGUUCAGACAUAAAAGGUGGCUUCGGCUACCACUUACAGAUGGACCCGCGGCGCAUUAGCUAGUUGGUGAGGUAACGGCUCACCAAGGCGACGAUGCGUAGCCGACCUGAGAGGGUGAUCGGCCACACUGGGACUGAGACACGGCCCAGACUCCUACGGGAGGCAGCAGUAGGGAAUCUUCCGCAAUGGACGAAAGUCUGACGGAGCAACGCCGCGUGAGUGAUGAAGGUUUUCGGAUCGUAAAGCUCUGUUGUUAGGGAAGAACAAGUGCCGUUCAAAUAGGGCGGCACCUUGACGGUACCUAACCAGAAAGCCACGGCUAACUACGUGCCAGCAGCCGCGGUAAUACGUAGGUGGCAAGCGUUGUCCGGAAUUAUUGGGCGUAAAGGGCUCGCAGGCGGUUUCUUAAGUCUGAUGUGAAAGCCCCCGGCUCAACCGGGGAGGGUCAUUGGAAACUGGGGAACUUGAGUGCAGAAGAGGAGAGUGGAAUUCCACGUGUAGCGGUGAAAUGCGUAGAGAUGUGGAGGAACACCAGUGGCGAAGGCGACUCUCUGGUCUGUAACUGACGCUGAGGAGCGAAAGCGUGGGGAGCGAACAGGAUUAGAUACCCUGGUAGUCCACGCCGUAAACGAUGAGUGCUAAGUGUUAGGGGGUUUCCGCCCCUUAGUGCUGCAGCUAACGCAUUAAGCACUCCGCCUGGGGAGUACGGUCGCAAGACUGAAACUCAAAGGAAUUGACGGGGGCCCGCACAAGCGGUGGAGCAUGUGGUUUAAUUCGAAGCAACGCGAAGAACCUUACCAGGUCUUGACAUCCUCUGACAAUCCUAGAGAUAGGACGUCCCCUUCGGGGGCAGAUUGACAGGUGGUGCAUGGUUGUCGUCAGCUCU